GAUGAACGCUAGCGGCAGGCUUAACACAUGCAAGUCGAGGGGUAUAGGGAGCUUGCUUCCUAGAGACCGGCGCACGGGUGCGUAACGCGUAUGCAAUCUACCUUUUGCAGAGGGAUAGCCCAGAGAAAUUUGGAUUAAUACCUCAUAGUAUAGCAGUUUCGCAUGAAACCACUAUUAAAGUCACAACGGCAAAAGAUGAGCAUGCGUCCCAUUAGCUUGUUGGUAAGGUAACGGCUUACCAAGGCAACGAUGGGUAGGGGUCCUGAGAGGGAGAUCCCCCCACACUGGUACUGAGACACGGACCAGACUCCUACGGAGGCAGCAGUGAGGAAUAUUGGACAAUGGCGCAAGCCUGAUCCAGCCAUGCCGCGUGCAGGAUGACGGUCCUAUGGAUUGUAAACUGCUUUUGUACAGGAAGAACACUCCGAC
rnacentral:rRNA from 1 species